UGGGAGGAAAGAAGUGAAGGCUGUAGUCAGUAUGUUUUGUAUGAGAGAAGAAUACAGGAAAAGAAAAAAAGGCAUUAGUGUGCAAGCUGUGUGAGCAGGACAGACAGCAAGGUCAGUAACUAUGAAGGAACCCUCAGACACAAGAGCGGGUGGGUGUGGGCACCGAGCAGAACAUUUGCAGAGGACUUCCUUUUGCUCAUGUCGCCUCAAAGACCUUGGAGUUUGUCUCUGCUCACCAGUUCAGUGUUGCAGCAUCUCCCAUGUGCAAUGGACACAGCAAGGGUCUACCUUGGUUUAAAGCCAUCUAAGACUCCGGGGAUUCAGUGUGCAUCACCUCCAUCUCUUCCCCGAGCACUGAGCACUGGAGUUGGCACCCUGUGUGUCAGAAAUAAGGAAGGCUGACAGGAGGCGUGGAUGAAGGGUGCCAUGACUUAGGGAUGGAUGAAGAACAAACACAGAGGCAGAAAAUCUGUCUACAGUGGUCAUGAUGCCUGUCGGUGCCCACAUUCACACAGGUUGGCUCUGAAGCUCAGCUGCACUGGGCUGACCCUACUUGUCUUGACCCUGGUUGGGAUAAGAUGAGUGUUUUAGUGCGAGUCUUAAUACAAAAACCAUCAAUAGAAUCAUGCCGAGUGUUUAUUCAAGAGACCCUGGGUGAAACAACAGGUAAUUCUUGUGGCUUGAGUUUUGCAAGAAUGAUACUGAGGUUUACUAUUUACCAGGAGUUACGUCAGCCAAGGCUUAUAACAGUCAUCUGUGAAGACGAUAUCACCAUAUCUUAUGUUAGAGGAAAUUGCCUCAUAGAAACUUGAGGGUGUCAUGAUUGGUAGUUAAUAAGAAUGGAAACAUCACUGAAACUGUGUAACCUUGAAACCUGAGACAUUAACCACUUGGCUAUACUGCCUACUGAUGCUAGCCUACUUGAUUAUUAAGUUAAGAAAAAGCUCUAUGUCAAACAGGUAAAUUUGUCUAAAAUUAAUUAAUAGAAAAAGUGUAUUCCUUUCUAUUUAUAUUUGAUAUGUCAUAACAGUAAUCUUGUUUUCUGCAAAGGUUAAUAAAAGCGUGUGUUAGUAAAAACUGCCGUGUGUCUGUAGUGCAGCAAGAAGAGGGUGUAAUACACCAUGUCUUCCUCUCUCUCCAGAUAGUCCAACUAAGUUAAAGUGCCCAGAAGACUGGCUUUCACACCGAGAUAAAUGCUUUCGUGUUUUUGAAGCAUGUGAGUUUGUAAGGACAAUGGUCAUGCCAUUUCGAGAAGACAGAAUUUUAGGGUAAUUUUACAUUCUUUUCACCUGCUUCCUCCAUGAUGUUCUCUGGGUAGAAGUUAACAUGGACAUCCCUCUUCCAGCUGAGCACACACACUUACUCUCAGCACUUUGAUCAUUGCUGAUUACAAAGCUAUGGACAUAGAAAACAGUAUGACAUCUUGACCUUUUACCAAAUGAACAACAAUAGGUUCCUCUUUUGGGCCCAUGAUGCCCAUGGCCCUGGGUUUAAUACAUUUAUAGCACCAAGUGUGAGUUCCCUCCUGUAGAGUAGGAGAGCUCAAAUCCAAUAGGAAACCAGUUGUUUACCCUCCAUAACCCUCAUACCGGUAUUGUAUGGGUGAUUAUCUUGUGUGGCUGAUUGAUGUUGUAGGGCAAGAGUAGUGAUGGCUUCUUCCUCAGCAGCCGACACAGUGCCUUUCAGCAUUAUGAAAGUUUACUAUCAGCUUAGUAGUUUCCAGGUCAAUUCCAGAUUGGUUAAUUUUAUUCUGAAAAUAUGUGGUAUUUUCAGCAAUAGGGCCUUGCCUAAUAGUAAUUGUGUAAAAUCAAGAAUAAUAGCCUAUGUUGUUUUGAGGACUUCUGGGGUAUCCCUUACAAGAAUUUUACAGUAUAUCCCAUGUUUGGAACUGAGGUAUUAGACAAUAAUCAUAUACACAUGCAAAAAAAUAAAAUUGCUUUCCAAGCAGCUCAUGUAUCUGUGACGCUUUAGUUUAAGAAGUAUUCCUUUCUUUUCUUUUGUUGGAUCAUCUUUUACUAUUUACUUUUCUCUAUGGUUAGCACCUGAAAAGUCCCAGUCCCAUCUCUCUUACUUUUUGCAUGGGAUCUUUCUCUGCGAUACAUUUUUGUCAGGUUGAGGUUAUUUUAUUUCUCAAACCAACUGUCUUCCUUCCUUUCUUUGUACUGUCUGGCAAUCCACAUAUGGUGUCCAUAGAUGAACUAGAACACUCCAUUCAUGCCCAUUGUUUUGCUUCAUUGACAAGAAGUAUCCUCUCUCUGGUGACCUUGGCAAGUAGGUCAUUCUUCCUUCACAGGGUCGUGAGCCAAAAGGUGCAGGGGACCAGAGGUAAAGAAGAUAGAACAGGGGAGCUUGAGCUCGGGAGGUCUUGCAGAAGCUAUGUCUUAUGCCAUGCCAAGGAAACUUGUUAAUAAAUAUAGCAUUUUGUAUGUUAUUUCCAGGGGGAGAGAGGGCACAGAGUCAGAAGAGAGCUAACAUACAAUAGGAUGAAAUCAGCAGGAAGCUAGCCAAGCAGUGAUGCACAAAGGGAACAUGGAGAGUCCAAGAGCAUGACAAAUGGAGCACACAGGGGUCUUGGGGCUGAUGACCUCCUAUUUAUGGGGAAAAAUGUCAAGUUCCCAGGAACUGAAGCAUUCAGUCAUUUGAGGCCCUAUCUUCAGGCCCUGACAGGCCUUGCCAAUUUGCCCUGGGGGCAAAGACUCAGAAUUAGAUUCCCUUUGUCCUUUCAUUAUGGCAUCUGAGAAAGCCUUGGGUAGGCCUGGCUCUCAACAGUGUGGCAAGUUUCUACUUAGAUGCCCUGCGAGAUGAAGUAUGGGAGUGGCCUCAGUUGCCUACUCCCUUCUCUGCAAUAUAUCGCCUUGGUUUGAAAUAGGCUUGGGUGCAACCUCCCAGGUAGUGUCUGAACUUUCCACAGAGAUGCUCUGCUGUAUGUGCCAAUGCCUCAAGCAACACCCCUGUGGAGCAAACAGCCCCUGUAGCUUUCUGAUGAGCUGUUCUGCUCAUGGCACCAACUGCUUUGCCUUUUGAGCCUGCAGCAUAUGAUCUUAACCCAUGGCUGCCACUUUCUGCCUCAUGUUUUCACUUUCUUGGAUAAAACUAUUCCUUUAUCAUGUUCCUUUCCACAUUUAAGAGUAUUAUUGCUUAUGUUUUACUCUAUUUUUUAUACAUCCUAAUUUCCAUUAAUAAUCUGGAAGUGUCUGAUAUAAAAAGAAGCUUCUAGUUAAAAAUUUAUCUUUCUUUAUUCUUGUGACCCUCAGUAUAACUUUUAUUAUUGCCAUACUCUAAAGCCCUCACAUAACUCACAUAACUCACAAUCACUCACCAUUUGACUUUGAUUUACGAUCUCCUUAUUGUACGCAACACCAUAUUACAAUCUCCUCUAUCCAUGCUCUGCCUCUUUCUCUGUGUGUCUCUCUGUAUCUCUGUUUCUCUGUCUCUGUCUCUCCAUUUCUCUGUCUCUGUCUCUGUCUCUGUGUGUGUGUGUCUUUCUGUCUUAUUGUGAGAAGAUUAAG
ensembl:lncRNA LOC100362418 killer cell lectin-like receptor subfamily B member 1C